CUCCUGCAUCCCCAGCCCGCUCCAGCAUCAGCAUCCAUCCCACUGGCCUCCCGGCCGACAGCCGGGACCAGCCUCACCUCCUGCCCCGCUCCUACCCUACUGUGCAUUCCAAGCCCUUUUCACAGCCUAAAGGCUUAGUUUCCCCAGAAACAGACGCCAAAGAGUGUUUCUGCUUUGCAUCCAAACUUCUUUGUACAAGUUGCGCACUCUGUGGGGGAAGGAGGCAAAAAAAAAGCCAUCGGUCACCCCGAUGGCAUUUUAAAACAUCAGACUGGGAAGACAGAACCUGUGCCAGCUUAGAUCCAUCAUUCCCUGAUACUGUGAUGGGUAGGGGUAGGAGAUUCAGCCAUGCAGGUCUGUGGCCCAGCUCCUGUUCCAGCUGUACAGAUGCAGUGCCAGAAAAUAGACAAUCCAAUGGCUAUUGUUCAAUCUGGAGAUGGGCCAAGAUUGGAAAGGGAGAUAAGAAAAUGACUGUUUGCAGCUGUUGUUUGGACUCUGGGCACAUCCUGGAUGGAGAAAAGUCGUUUCCCACACUGGGCUUGGAAGUAAUGCUGCUGUCCAACAGGGAUGCAAGGGCAGAGCUGCUGAGCUCUUCACCAUCAUUCUGGAGCUGAACUCAGGCCCUGAUCUGGUCGUGUCCUCAAGGUCUCCUUUAGUCAGUGGAUCUUCAGGCAGAAGCUGGGUUGCUUUGCUGCAGAGUCAAAGGCAGUGGAUGUAUUUUCAGACUUCUCGUCCACUGAAACUGGUGAGACCUAACCCCACCAGCCUGAUGGCGAUGCAGGCAGCCCAGAACUGAUGAAUCCAGUUGCAUUCAGAAUCACAAAAGCAAAAGUAGGUGGUGUAAACUAUGGAAUUCACAUAGUGCUCAAUGAAGGAACAUCCUUCAAAGCCUCCUACAGUAAUCAGCACAUUGGAAAUGCCUUCCAGCACAGACAUUGCCAAGGAAAUAAAAAUUCCAUAUUUUUAAAGUGAUACUAAAAGAACAAAAAACCCAUCCCAAAUGUCUUUUAGGAAAGUGACAGAAAGCUUAUUGUACUGUGUUAUCUUCAUGUCUGAAAAAUUAAACCUACCUGUAUUAAACUCAAUAA